CAUAAAUAAAAAAGAAAAUUUCUUCAAACAUUUUUUUGAGAGGAUUAAUAUUCAACAGCAUAGUGAAUUGCUCUUAGAGAAACAAAAAUUUUAAGUUCAUUAGAACACAUUCAUUCUGUGUCAGAAACCUAUGCUGUGUCAACUAUUUAAUCACAAUCCAAAUUUAGAGCUGAAUCCAGCUUGAAUGUUGUGUCCAUACUUGCCCUAACCGUUCAGGGUUCAACCUCUGCGGUCGUAUAAAGCUACGCCCUGCGGAGCAUCUGGUUUUAGGUUUUAAUGAUGGUUUCUCGUAUUUUUUCUGCUUAAUUAAGCACCUUUUUAUGUUGAAAAACACAUGUUAAUUUAUCCAAGGC
rnacentral:lncRNA from 1 species